rnacentral:lncRNA from 1 species
UUUUAAGUUUCUGAUGGUAUUAAUGUUGGUUUUUCCUUGUUCAAAGGAAGACGUUUAUAUUUCUGAGAAUUAAAACAUCAAAAGCAGCCAUUAAUGUGAUGUUUCCUUAAAUUCACAAAAGAAGAAUCAAAUAAUGUUUAUAUGAGGGGGUACUGAAAAAUGUGUACAAAGUAUUCUUGGAGCACAAAUGAGAGACUUCAACUCUUUCUCAAACAUCAGUGAUGAUUUUACAGAGAAGACAUUUGUGUUGCAUUAAAAGAAGGAAUUUACAAAGUAGAGAAGAGGUGAAAGCAAGAAGGGUGAUGUGGAAGAGCCAACUGAGGAAGGACAGAGGUCUCAGCGUGGAAGGAGUACAGGAAAUGAUGAAGGUAUAGCGGGUACAUGUGCAGG